CCGAAUUGGGGAUAACGUUGCGAAAGCGACGCUAAUACCGAAUAACAUCCAUUAAUCUUCGGGUUUUUGGAUCAAGGGUGGCCUCUACAUGUAAGCUACUGUUUGAAGAUGAGCCCGCGUACCAUUAGCUUGUUGGUGGGGUAAUGGCCUACCAAGGCAGCGAUGGUUAGCUGGUCUGAGAGGAUGAUCAGCCACACUGGAACUGACACACGGUCCAGACUCCUACGGGAGGCAGCAGUGAGGAAUUUUGCGCAAUGGGGGAAACCCUGACGCAGCAACGCCGCGUGAGUGAUGAAGGCUUUCGGGUCGUAAGCUCUGUCAAGUGGGAAGAACCCGCAGUAUGCUAAUAUCAUAUUGCACUGACGGUACCACUGAAGGAAGCACCGGCUAACUCCGUGCCAGCAGCCGCGGUAAUACGGGGGGUGCAAGCGUUAUUCGGAAUCAUUGGGCGUAAAGAGCACGUAGGCGGCCUGGUAAGUCAGAUGUGAAAGCCCGGGGCUUAACCCCGGAAGUGCAUUUGAUACUGUCAGGCUUGAGUAUGGGAUGGGAAGUGGAAUUCCUGGUGUAGAGGUGAAAUUCGUAGAUAUCAGGAGGAACACCGGUGGCGAAGGCGACUUCCUGGACCAAUACUGACGCUGAGGUGCGAAGGCGUGGGUAGCAAACAGGAUUAGAUACCCUGUAGUCCACGCAGUAAACGUUGUUCACUAGGUGUAGCGGGUAUUGACCCCUGCUGUGCCGCAGUUAACGCAUUAAGUGAACCGCCUGGGGAGUACGGCCGCAAGGUUAAAACUCAAAGGAAUUGACGGGGGCCCGCACAAGCGGUGGAGCAUGUGGUUUAAUUCGACGCAACGCGAAGAACCUUACCUGGAUUUGACAUCCCGGGAAUCCUAUCGAAAGACUGGAGUGCCCUUCGGGGAGCCCGGAGACAGGUGCUGCAUGGCUGUCGUCAGCUCGUGUCGUGAGAUGUUGGGUUAAGUCCCGCAACGAGCGCAACCCUUGUCUUUAGUUACCAUCAUUCAGUUGGGGACUCUAAAGAUACUGCCCCGGUCAACGGGGAGGAAGGUGGGGAUGACGUCAAGUCCUCAUGGCCUUUAUGUCCAGGGCUACACACGUGCUACAAUGGGCUGUACAAAGGGUCGCGAACCCGCGAGGGUAAGCCAAUCCCAAAAAGCAGUCCCAAGUUCGGAUUGGAGUCUGCAACUCGACUCCAUGAAGCUGGAAUCGCUAGUAAUCGCGGAUCAGCAUGCCGCGGUGAAUACGUUCCC
rnacentral:rRNA from 1 species